rnacentral:rRNA from 1 species
UAUUACCGCGGCUGCUGGGGCGGGGGCACGGGGGGCCUACGGGAGGCAGCAGUGGGGAAUAUUGGACAAUGGGCGAAAGCCUGAUCCAGCCAUGCCGCGUGUGUGAAGAAGGUCUUCGGAUUGUAAAGCACUUUAAGUUGGGAGGAAGGGGUUGAAGCUAAUACCUUCAAUCUUUGACGUUACCAACAGAAUAAGCACCGGCUAACUCUGUGCCAGCAGCCGCGGUAAUA